rnacentral:rRNA from 1 species
UACGGAGGGUGCAAGCGUUAAUCGGAAUUACUGGGCGUAAAGGGUGCGUAGGUUGUUGUGUAAGUUAUCUGUGAAAUCCCUGGGCUUAACCUGGGCAGGUCAGAUAAGACUGCAUGACUAGAGUAUGGGAGAGGGUAGUGGAAUUUCCGGUGUAGCGGUGAAAUGCGUAGAGAUCGGAAGGAACACCAGUGGCGAAGGCGGCUACCUGGCCUAAUACUGACACUGAGGCACGAAAGCGUGGGGAGCAAACAGG